UACGAAGGGGGCUAGCGUUGCUCGGAAUCACUGGGCGUAAAGCGCACGUAGGCGGAUCUUUAAGUCAGGGGUGAAAUCCUGGAGCUCAACUCCAGAACUGCCUUUGAUACUGGGGAUCUCGAGUCCGGAAGAGGUGAGUGGAACUCCGAGUGUAGAGGUGAAAUGCGUAGAUAUCAGGAGGAACACCGGUGGUGUAGACGGCUCACUGGACCAUAACUGACGCUGAGACACGAAAGCGUGGGUAGCAAACAGG
rnacentral:rRNA from 1 species